CAGCCGCCGCGGUAAUACGUAGGGUGCAAGCAUUAAUUGGAAUUACUGGGCGUAAAGCGUGCGCAGGCGGUUUUGUAAGACAGAGGUGAAAUCCCCGGGCUCAACCUGGGAACUGCCUUUGUGACUGCAAGGCUAGAGUACGGCAGAGGGGGAUGGAAUUCCGCGUGUAGCAGUGAAAUGCGUAGAUAUGCGGAGGAACACCGAUGGCGAAGGCAAUCCCCUGGGCCUGUACUGACGCUCAUGCACGAAAGCGUGGGGAGCAAACAGGAUUAGAUACCCGAGUAGUCCCUGUCUCUUAUAC
rnacentral:rRNA from 1 species